rnacentral:rRNA from 1 species
UACAGAGGGUGCGAGCGUUAAUCGGAAUUACUGGGCGUAAAGCGCACGUAGGUGGCGACGUAAGUCGGGUGUGAAAUCCCUGGGCUCAACCCGGUGAACGGCAUUCGAGACUGUGUUGCUGGAGUACGGAAGAGGAGGGCGGAAUUCCCGGUGUAGCGGUGAAAUGCGUAGAUAUCUGGAGGAACACCGGUGGCGAAGGCGGCAUCCUGGACCGGUAUUGACGCUGAGGCGCGAAAGCCAGGGGAGCAAACGGG